CAGCAUGGUGGGGAUAUUUUUUAAUAAGGUCUUUUAACCUCUCCCAUGUUUCAUGAAAUAUUUUUUCAUCUAAUUAGGAAAAACUAGCUAUGGCUUUUCUUAUUUG